UACGUAGGGUGCAAGCGUUGUUCGGAGUUACUGGGCGUAAAGGGUGUGUAGGCGGUUCUUUAAGUUUGGUGUGAAAUCUCCCGGCUCAACCGGGAGGGUGCGCCGAAUACUGAGGGACUAGAGUGCGGGAGAGGAAAGUGGAAUUCCUGGUGUAGCGGUGAAAUGCGUAGAUAUCAGGAGGAACACCGGUGGUGUAGACGGCUUUCUGGACCGUAACUGACGCUGAAACACGAAAGCGUGGGUAGCAAACAGG
rnacentral:rRNA from 1 species